UAGUGCUGUGAGUUUAACACUUCAUGACUGAGAACAGAACAGAACAGAAUCUUCAUCAUCACACAAACCAAAGGAACAACAAUGACUUUCAUCAUCAUCUUCAUCUGGACACUCACAGUCUUUACUCAAGUGUGUAGAGGACAGUACACUCUUACUCAGAGUCCAUCAAUAACAGUUCAACCAGGACAACAAGUUCAAAUAAACUGUAAAGUCAGCAGUGCAGUGUAUAGUGAUUACUUACACUGGUACUUACAGAAACCUGGAGAAGCUCCUAAACUUCUCAUAUAUUACCUUUUACGGUAUGCAACAACCCUCCAGUCAGGAACUCCAUCAAGAUUCAGAGGCAGUGGAUCAAACACAGAUUUCACUUUGACCAUCAGUGGAGUUCAGACUGAAGAUUCAGGAGAUUAUUACUGUCAGAGUUUACACAUACCUAGUAGCACUUAUGUGUUGACACAGUGAUAAAGAGUGAUACAAAAACCUCAUACACCUAACAGAUACUGCAGAUGAUGAUGCUGAUAGUUUAUUUCACUUGCAGCUCAUUUAUUUUGUACUAUAAUUUAUAA